UGUGAGAUUGAUGAGUUGCACACUGGUGGAGCCUUGAUAUCAGGUGAUACAGGCACCACUCAGUACCACCCUGGUGACAAAAUCAAGUGCACAGGGGCCAUCUGACUCACA
rnacentral:snoRNA from 1 species